rnacentral:ribozyme from 1 species
UGUCCAGCAGCUCCUAUCCCUACCUCCUCGUGGUACUGACCGGGGUGCGAGUAACAUUGGGGAAGAUUGGGCAACCCACCCCCGGUGGGAACUUUGGUCGUAUGCUGACAGAGAAGG